GACCGACUGGCCCAGUGGUUAAGGCAUUCGCUUUACAUGCUCAAUACAGGCUUCGCCCGCGAAGGAUCCCAGGUUCGAACCCUGGGUCGGUCA